rnacentral:lncRNA from 1 species
UAUUUUUUGUGAUUUGAAGUACAUAAUUCCUCCUAAACCAGUGGUAGCUGUUGAUAUAUAAGGUCUAGCUGGUCAGAAUGAUGUGCACUAAUGGUCUUUCUCAUUGACAUGUAGGUUAUUUGUGAUCACUUGGGAUUGGGUGUGAAGACAGGGUUGCCUUACAUCUGGCACAGCAAAGCUAGCAACCCGUUUGUGAAUCUCAAGAAGGAAUACAAAGGAAUCUACUGGCAGGAAGAGCUGAUCCCAUUCUUCCAAUCUGCCACACUUCCAAAGGAAUGCACCACCGUGCAGAAGUGCUACAUUGAACUGGCCAAGCAAGUUAAGGCAAAACUUGGUAAAGUUGAUGAAUACUUCAUCAAGCUGGCCGACGCAAUGGUCACAUGGAUCGAAGCAUGGGAUGAACUGAACCCACCACCUGGAGGAAAAUCCACAGAGUUGCCUAACGGUGCUGCUGCUACAAAAUAGAUUACUUGAUCAACAUUUAUCAUCCCUUUUGAUAGUCAUAGACUCAGCUCACAGCCAUUUGUUCGAGCUUCUGCUUCGGGGCUUGGAAUAUUUAUUUUG